ACUUUUAAUUUGACAUUAUUACAAAGUGUACUUAAAGAAACAGUCAUGAAAGUGUUUUCUCUUUAAAAAGAUAGUAUUCAGGCAUAAUAGCGGGCAGUUGUCUAUACUGAUUAUUAAAGACUUUGACACAGAGAUGACAAAAUCACUUGUUUUUCUCCUGGCAUCCCUUCUGCUCUGUUCAGGUGAGAUUUGCUCUUGUAUUCGAAGUGAUUCAUAACAAGUGAAAACCCAGAAUUCUGAAUGUUUAAAAAAAAUUGCAGAUGUCAACUGUAAUUUUUAAAAAAUUAAAAUGAAUGAGGGUAGACUUCAGAGUCAAAUUUUCAAUUACUAUUUCACUUGUACAACUUUAGGGAGAUUUAUCACAGAUAAGUGUAUUUUUAAAAUUUUGCUUAAGAAUUUUUUAAUGUAUUUAUUCUCGGUUCAUUUUAAAGAUGUUGUAAUUAAUGUAUUUUCAUUCUUAUUUAAUAACAGUUUAUAUAAACUAUUUCAUAUUUAGACAAGAAUUAAAAACAACGUGUUGUUUUAGAAAUAAUUGUAUUAUACACCAUGAGGAAUGUUUAUGGCAUAUGCAAAUAAACGGAAUUGUUGCCCCGCCAAUUCCUAUAACAUUCUGUGUUCCCUGAUAUGAAUGUGAUUGUCAUUUUUCCCUUUAUGCACCAAAGUACACCAACAUAUUCUGAUUUUCAGGCAUUUCAGAUGUUCAGAUGGGAAUGUCUCAGUACUUUGACCAUCCGAAUCCUGUGAGGGAGAUUGAAAAUUUGUAAAAAAAAAAAAAAAUAAUAAGAAUAAGUGGUUGUACAAGAUUUUUGCAAAAAAAAAAUUGUGUGUGUGUGUGUGUUUUAGUUGGUGUUUUAGUAUAUGUAACUGACACAGUGAACAUCAAACAUUCAUCAAAUACUGAAAAAGUUCACUACAUGUAAAUUUCAAGAAAUAUGUGCUAUGGUAACAGCAAAAACACAUAGAAAAAUAUGCAGAGUUCCAUAGCUAGCUUCAUAAUGUAAUAUGACUAAAAAUAAACAAAAGAUUUGAUUAGCCAAUUCAGAACUAAAUGAAUCCAACAAAAGGACCUGGAAGAAACCUAAUCAUUCAUCAUAAGUCAUCAAAUGUUUACAUGAUAAAUAAUUUCCACUGCAAUGACCUGCACACACACACACACACACACAAAGAUCUGUUCUUACUGAGCUUAGAAGAAUUGUUACAGGAUUUAAGCUAGUAUAUGUUUAUUGUUUAUUGUAUUGUAACACUUUAUGAUUGAUAGGGUUAGAUGAACAUCCUUCUCCUGAACUUUUAGAAUUUAAAAUAAAUAAAAUUUGUAAGAUGUAUCUACUGUUUUACAUGAUACUGCAAUGGAUGCACUUCUUGUAUGGUUUUGUCUCUUUGAUUAAUUGCUUCUGCUGCACUUUUCUAAAGGAAAAACAGUAAAUACAGUUUUUCUAAAAGAAAAAAAAGCCUCUAUCAGAGUAUAAUGCAGACGUUUAGCACUGUGGUGUUGUGGGAUUGCUUCACAUUAUGUCAGCUCCUUUACAGGACAUGAGUAAGCAGUUUAACUCUCCAUGUGAAAAGAACAGCUAACACAUUUUCAGUCAUAAAAAAAAGUCUGCACACUUUAAGUGCAGGCUUACCAUGUUCUCUUUAUGACACUGUUACACAUGCAAGAACUGUCAAUAUCAUUGCGGUGACAUCAAUGGCUUGAUAUAAUUAUCUUCCUAAUCACACUGCAGUGACUUCAUCGGCCUGAUUUCAUAAACUUUCAUAAGACAGUAGUGUACUCAGUUACAAUGGUGUCACACAGUUGGUUUAUACACUACACUGGUCAGUUGUGGCUUUUCUUACUGAAGGGGAGAAAAAUUGAGUGUGAGAGAGAGAGAGAGAGAGAGGCUGGUGAAUAAAAUAAAAAGGAAAUUGAGAAAGAAUCAGUAUCCGAUUAUUUUAAAAGUAUAUGAAACCAUGUUACCAAGCAUAUAUUUUGUUUUUCUGAUCUCUUGCUCAGGUAAGAUCCAAUUGCAAUAUUCCUGAAAAUAUUGGGCCUGUGGAAAGUAUUUGAUUUACUGUAUAUACUAUGUUAUGAGAACCUUAUCAACAUUCAGUUUAUGUGAAAGAUUUAUGAAUGAUUUUAUCAUUUUCUUGUCUUGAAAAGCCCUAGCAAAGAGUGAAGCUCUUUCAGUUUGGUGGGAUCCAGAGAUGCCUUCACAUUCUGAAACCUUAAACAGUUUGAUGGACGGCUAUGGAAAUGACUUACCGAAAAUUCGGCCAAACAUCAUCUUUUGUUGUGUGUGCCAAGAGGCUAUAAAGCGGGCUAAGACCGCAGUCUAUCAGAAGAUGCAACAGAAGAUAAAUGAUGUCUGUAACAAAUUCAUAAAGGAUUUUCGAAACAUCUGCCUUCAACGUGCAGAGAGAUAUCGGGACAUCAUACUGCACAAGCUCUUCCCUGGUGGGAGCCCAAGGGGAACAUGUUUUAAGAUAAAGUUAUGCUCAUAACAACUGUGCUGGUGGCUGUUGAAGGGAUACAUAUACAUGUUACUACCUCAUUUUAAAUGUCUUUACAUUAACAAAGCUGUUUUUCAUUAUUUCAUUCAGAAAAUGCAGUUAAAUGCCUUUAAAGUCAAAAAUGCCUUUAAAAUGUUCUAAUAGAUGGAUGUUUAUUGUACUGAAAAUAAUCUACUGAGUUUUUUUUUUUUUUUUUGGGGGGGGGGGGGGGUCCUCUGUAAGGUGUAAGAUUGUGUUGUUUUACAUUAAAUACGCAUUAACAAUCUAAUCAUUUUCAUGUGAUUUUCUCAUUCUGGUUGUUUUCUUCAUUUAGCCAAGCCAUGCCAAAACAGAUAAUGUUUGAACUCCAAUAAUUAAUGUCAUAAUAGCCAAAUGAUUUGUA